rnacentral:lncRNA from 12 species
AGGAAAUCCAGGAAUUGGCAGGUGAAGCACAACAGCCUGGAAGGGGUCGCCCACCUUGUUAAUGCUGGUAAUAGGAGCCCUGAAGGAAAUUGCCAAAGUGGCCUCCCUGAGGUAUUUCUAUGUUUCUAUUUUUGGCAGACAAUGUGGUUUAAAUGGUUUUAUGUGACUGUUUCAGGAACAACAGCUCCUUGAUUUGGAUUUGCUUCUGGAAAGAAAUGAAGGACGUCUGAGGCUCGCUUUUGCAAGCAGUUCUGAAACUUCACCCUUUCAUCCAACUCUCGAGGAUCGGGGACACCUUUCACAAGUUCCAGAAGUUGCUGUUGAAAUCCAUUUUGAAAGCAGAGUAAUUGUUGGUAAUGCGGCUCCCCCAGGCAGGCUGGAAGUGGAAGUGGAAAUGAUCGUGGCUCGUCUGGCGGCAGAAGUCCUGCACAGAUUCCAAGUGAUGCAGACUUUCUUGGCUGCACGCGAGCAAGACCCUCUGGAGGCUGGGGUCCCAGCACUGUGGCCCCUGGCAGGAAGGAGCUGCUUCCUCUGUGAACCCCCAGCGCAGCCCUACCUUUGGUUCUCCCUCCCUAGUGUCCGUGGACUGAUCCAUCUGGACAGUUGAUUUCCAUGCGCGCGGCUGAGGCUGCUCAUGGCCAUGACAGCUCAGAGGGGCUGCUUGAUAUUAUUUUUAACCCUGCCUCCUAACAUUUUAUUAUAACAAUUUCCAAACAUUCAGAAAAGUGGGGGGAAAAAAACCAACUGCUACCGUGAACAACUGUAUACUGAGCACCGAGAUUUGAAAAUUGGCAUUUUACACUGUUUUGCUACACAUGCAGGCCUUGUGUCUUAAGUACUGGUGUUCAGUUACCACAUGAGGGUCCUGCUUUGUCCACAGAACUCUCCCUCUCCGAGCUCCUAUGGCAGCUGUAGACUUAAAUGCACAACUUAACAAACACAUCCAAAGAGGCUCUAACAUGUAGUAUCUGCCUUGUGCCAGGCCCUGAGAAAGGCAUAAGGUACUUUUACACCUAUGAUCUUACUGAAUUUUUAACCCAUGAAAUAAAUAUUAUUGUUGUUCCUAAAUUAUGCCUGUG